rnacentral:rRNA from 1 species
GAACGAACGCUGGCGGCGCGCUUAAGCAUGCAAGUCGGACGGCAAGGGUUGUGCUGCACAACUCCUAGAGUGGCGGACUGGUGAGUAACGCGUGGGUGACCUGCCCUCGAGAUGGGGAUAGCCAUUAGAAAUAGUGGAUAAUACCGAAUACGCUCAUGACCCUGUGGGGAUAUGAGGAAAACAGGCUACGGCCUGGCUCGAGGAUGGGCCCGCGUCCCAUUAGCUAGUUGGUGAGGUAACGGCCCACCAAGGCGACGAUGGGUAUCCGGCCUGAGAGGGUGUACGGACACAUUGGGACUGAGAUACGGCCCAAACUCCUACGGGAGGCAGCAGCCAAGAAUAUUCCGCAAUGGACGAAAGUCUGACGGAGCGACGCCGCGUGGAUGAAGGAAAGGCCGGAAGGUUGUAAAAUCCUUUUGCUGAUGAAGAAUAAGUGUGGUAGGGAAUGACCGCAUGAUGACAUUAGUCGGUGAAUAAGCCCCGGCUAACUACGUGCCAGCCGCCGC